rnacentral:rRNA from 1 species
CCCUUAGAUGUUCGGGGCCGCACGCGCGCUACACUGAAGGAAUCAGCACGUCUUUCUCCUUGUCCGAAAGGACUGGGUAACCCGCUGAACCUCCUUCGUGCUAGGGAUUGGGGCUUGUAAUUCUUCCCCAUGAACGAGGAAUUCCCAGUAAGCGCGAGUCAUAAGCUCGCGUUGAUUACGUCCCUGCCCUUUGUACACACCGCCCGUCGCUACUACCGAUUGGAUGGUUUAGUGAGAGCCUCGGAUUGGUCCCGGAGCGGCCUCUGGUCGUGCCGGAGUGCCGAAAAGAAUGUCGAACUUGAUCAUCUAGAGGAAGUAAAAGUCGUAACA